GAUGAACGCUAGCUACAGGCUUAACACAUGCAAGUCGAGGGGAAACGACAUCGAAAGCUUGCUUUUGGUGGGCGUCGACCGGCGCACGGGUGAGUAACGCGUAUCCAACCUGCCCACCACUUGGGGAUAACCUUGCGAAAGUAAGACUAAUACCCAAUGAUAUCCCACGAAGGCAUCCGAAUGGGAUUAAAGAUUUAUCGGUGAUGGAUGGGGAUGCGUCUGAUUAGCUUGUUGGCGGGGUAACGGCCCACCAAGGCAACGAUCAGUAGGGGUUCUGAGAGGAAGGUCCCCCACAUUGGAACUGAGACACGGUCCAAACUCCUACGGGAGGCAGCAGUGAGGAAUAUUGGUCAAUGGGCGCAAGCCUGAACCAGCCAAGUCGCGUGAAGGAAGACGGCCCUAUGGGUUGUAAACUUCUUUAGGGUGGGAACAAAGGACGCCACGCGUGGCGAGAUGAGUGUACUACCAGAAUAAGCAUCGGCUAACUCCGUGCCAGCAGCCGCGGU
rnacentral:rRNA from 1 species